UACAGAGGGUGCGAGCGUUAAUCGGAAUUACUGGGCGUAAAGCGCACGUAGGCGGCUUUGCAAGUCGGGUGUGAAAUCCCCGGGCUCACCUGGGAACUGCAUCCGAGACUGCUUUGCUCGAGUAUGGGAGAGGGAAGUGGAAUUCCGGUGUAGCGGUGAAAUGCGUAGAUAAUCGGAAGGAACAUCAGUGGCGAAGGCGACUUCCUGGACCAAUACUGACGCUCAGGUGCGAAAGCGUGGGAGCAAACAG
rnacentral:rRNA from 1 species